CCAUUUUAACGAUCAAGAAUUAGCACUCUUGACUAUCAUUAACCCCCUCGCCAAAAUUUCUCGAUGUUGUUUCGUUUCCACCAUAUAUUAUAUAACAUAUAUCAUUAUAUGGACAUGCAUGUCAUUUUUAUAUAUAUAUAUAUAUAUAUGCUACUCUCGCCGAUUAUUUAUGCCUAAUUAUUUUAUUUACCCCCGAUCCCCCAUAUAUAUAUAUAUAUAUAUGUAUAUAUACUCAGUAGAAGAACUCCGGCUAAGUCACUAGAACUCCGGCGGAGAAAAUUUGGCCGGCGGUGUAAGGAGAGGUUGAGAAUUUCGAUCUACAUCUCUCUUUCCUUUCAUCAUUUGCUAUAUGACUCGAUCGACACUCUGUGCUGCAAAAUGCUUUUUCUCCCCUGC
rnacentral:lncRNA from 1 species